CCUACGGGAGGCUGCAGUGGGGAAUAUUGCACAAUGGGCGCAAGCCUGAUGCAGCCAUGCCGCGUGUGUGAAGAAGGCCUUCGGGUUGUAAAGCACUUUCAGCGGGGAGGAAGGCGGUGAGGUUAAUAACCUCAUCGAUUGACGUUACCCGCAGAAGAAGCACCGGCUAACUCCGUGCCAGCAGCCGCGGUAAUACGGAGGGUGCAAGCGUUAAUCGGAAUUACUGGGCGUAAAGCGCACGCAGGUGGUCUGUCAAGUCGGAUGUGAAAUCCCCGGGCUCAACCUGGGAACUGCAUUCGAAACUGGCAGGCUAGAGUCUUGUAGAGGGGGGUAGAAUUCCAGGUGUAGCGGUGAAAUGCGUAGAGAUCUGGAGGAAUACCGGUGGCGAAGGCGGCCCCCUGGACAAAGACUGACGCUCAGGUGCGAAAGCGUGGGGAGCAAACAGGAUUAGAUACCCCUGUAGUC
rnacentral:rRNA from 1 species